CAUCUGUUAAAUGAGGGUGUUGGACUAAAUAGCCCUUGAGGUGCCUUCCAGCUCUAGAGCUGUCUUACCAGGUAUCAAUUGGAAGGCAGAAGGUUUCCACUGGAUGGCACAGUGCAUAUAAUACCAAGACUGGUGUCAGGAAGACCUUAAGUCACCUUGGGGCCAUGGGGAAAGGUGGAGCUCACCUGAGAGGGAAAGAAAAUUGUCUCAUCUAUUUGGGGCUCCUGAACAUCUUUAUAUCUUCUGCAUUUUCACUGGAGUAGCUCUCUUUGCAAUGCUUCUGCAUGAUGACAAGUAACAUCACUAUGAACACUGAGACAUUUAUGCUAAGUUCUUGAAGGCUCAGAAUUGAAUUUGUUGAAGAUGAGAAAACUAAGGCUAAGAAAGAAGUCUCUUAGUCAAGAUCAAAGGACUAAUAAGUGACAGAACUGUGACUUGGAUAGAGGUCUUCUGACAACAUUUUCCACCACAUAUCUGGGAAGGACUAUUGAAGCAGGGUUUUAAUGAAUACCUCAAAACAUCUCUGAUGUACUCACUGAGAGUAUUCUCUCUAUUGAGGAACCUAGCACUUCUAGUGGAUAGUUUCUUAAAUUGCUUUGGGGGGUGGGGAGGGCAUCUCACUUGAGGAUUAAUCUCCCAGUGAUGAAGCCUCUUUGCCCCUAGCUCUGCUGUUCUUCAGUUCAUAGCUGGUACCUCAGUCCUUUCCAGCUAUGUAGAACCUGCCGGAGAAUGUGUUCCACUGGCUCAGCCUUUGAGAAUUCAGGGUCACCACCAGGCCACAAUGAUGCAAUGAUGAGAAGAAAUUGCCCUGAAUUUGUUGGACAGCCUUCCCAUUAGCCUUUGACCAAAACAGCUUGUCUUUGUAUUCACUGACCCCUAAGAUUACAGUGAGCAAUUCCAUAGUUUUCAGUAGGUAGUAAUGUUUGGCAUGUGACAAAUUCCCUGCAUAUCUUCAUCCACUUGGUGAAUUGAAAAUCCACAAUGGGACCUUUAUUUGAUCUCCUUUGAAAAGAAAACAGUACUUUCCAAAUGCAGAAAAACACCGCAUGGGUCAUUCAUUAUUUUUUUUGAGUUAUUCAAGAUUAAAUGAAGACUUGCUCCCUAUGUAAAGAGAAUGGAAUAUAUAUGUGUAGGUAGAAGCAAUGUAGAUGGAUAUUAACUAUGCCCCAACAAGUAUAGCUAGCUCAUAGACAAUAAGGUAGCCUUUGGAUCUAUAGCAAGGAAUUUAGAUUUAAGUGGAUCAUCUGUACUUAGUCAAAUAAGGAAAGAUUUUAAACGUUCUUCACAGCUGAUCUAAAGAUUAUAACUUCACUAUGAUUGUCUUUAUAUACCUGAUCUAUAUAUUGAAGAAAUCAGCAAUGUUUUAGGAGAAAAAAAACCACAGUUAUCUAGUUCAUUAAGUUGAUAAGCAAAAUGAGCUCAGCAGCUUAAAUGGAUUUGGUUUUGAAGUGAACAAGAAGGUGAUUUCUAUUGUCAUAAUGAAAUUGUUUUUAAUUGAUG